AUGAGUGACACCUUGCAGCAUAUCAUGGUUACCCAAGCUAAUCAGAAGAGGUAGAGAACCUAUUCAGUUUGGGAUUACAAAUGCAAUACGGUCUUUCUCUAAUCUAAUACUCUUGACCACAUUGUUUGGUUUGAUAGUUUAUAUGUUCAUGUCUACUAUCCAAUGUGAUUCUUGUGCUUAUAUGAUUUCUUUGAAUGUGAUUUAGAACGACUUUUCUAAAUCUCAUUCAUACUUUGGCCAGAGAUUCUAAAUCAUAUCAUAGAGUAUUCUCCCUCAAACUAUUUGAAGGUUAGAGAUCCCUUGUUGCACAUUCACUUGUCUCCAUGACUAAGUGGCUUAAUCCCAAUGAUGCCGUGGACACCCCAAUGGGGUGACUUUGACAUAAUCAAAGAUCAAGGACUUAACCACAAGACAACUAUGAUGCCUUAGUUCAAAAGACUAAUUUUCAUUAUCCCAACCAUGAGUUCUCAUAUGACAUGAAUAUGAGAACUCUUCGUCGAUCACGUUCAGUGAACUCAUUCUCUAUUGAGCACCUAAGUACUUGUCUUGAUGU
rnacentral:lncRNA from 1 species